AAAACGGCUCUUUUCAGAGCCACCCUAAUUUUUAAAAAGAGAUACA
rfam:Ciona savignyi cont_64358, whole genome shotgun sequence.